ACUCACCUUCUGAAAGCUCCAUUAGGAUGGAUUAACAGACUCUUUUUCUCUGUCCUGGCCGAUAAAUAUUCGGGGCUGUUGACCUGUUGGCUUGUAGCUGCGCUAAAGCGGUGCUAACAGGGUGGGAAAGUAUAUGCUUCACUAGACUCGUUCGCGGUCAUGGCUCAAAACGAGAGAAAGUACGGAAUUAGUUUACGGGGCAUUUUGUGGUGAUGUUUUUUUACGGGCGAUAUCAUGUAUGCAACACCCUGUAUAUUUGGUUUAGAGAACUAAGGCAGUGAAUUCAAACAACAGGAGGGGUGACGAGACAUUUUGUAUGCAUGUAUUUCCUGCAUCCUCAGGGUUAGCACCUUGGGGGGUGUCCGCACACCCACAUGGAUUUUCCGUAAGUCUUUUUCUUAGCGACAGACCGGGGUGAUAGAUGGAAAGGACAUAUUCCUAUCGUUAAAAGACAUUGCAUUUCUCCGCGACAGACCGGGCGAGAGAAAACAAGAGAUCCCCUUUCGUUAAAGGAUAUAGGUCCUGGUUAGCCCUGACCUGCAUCCGUUUCCAAUUCCCC